GACGAACGCUGGCGGCGCGCCUAAUGCAUGCAAGUCGAACGAGGGCUGUCUUCGGACAGACCUAGUGGCAGACGGCUGAGUAACGCGUGAGUGACCUGCCCUUGAGAGGGGGAUAACACAGGGAAACCUGUGCUAAUACCCCGUACGCUCACCAGUGUAAAGGCUGGUGAGGAAAUGAAUUUCGCUCGAGGAGGGGCUCGCGUCCUAUCAGGUAGUUGGUGAGGUAACGGCUCACCAAGCCGAAGACGGGUACCUGGUGUGAGAGCACGACCAGGCAGAGGGGGACUGAGACACGGCCCCCACUCCUACGGGAGGCAGCAGCAGGGAAUCUUCCACAAUGGACGAAAGUCUGAUGGAGCGACGCCGCGUGGGGGAUGAAGGUUUUCGGAUCGUAAACCCCUUUUCUCAGGGAAGAGUAAGG
rnacentral:rRNA from 1 species